AACGAACGCUGGCGGCAUGCCUAACACAUGCAAGUCGAACGAGACCUUCGGGUAUAGUGGCGCACGGGUGCGUAACGCGUGGGAACCUGCCCUUAGGUUCGGAAUAACUCCCCGAAAGGGGUGCUAAUACCGGAUAAUGUCUUCGGACCAAAGAUUUAUCGCCUUUGGAUGGGCCCGCGUUGGAUUAGCUAGUUGGUAGGGUAAAAGCCUACCAAGGCGACGAUCCAUAGCUGGUCUGAGAGGAUGAGCAGCCACACUGGGACUGAGACACGGCCCAGAAUUCUACGGGAGGCAGCAGUGGGGAAUAUUGGACAAUGGGCGAAAGCCUGAUCCAGCAAUGCCGCGUGAGUGAUGAAGGCCUUAGGGUUGUAAAGCUCUUUUACCCGGGAUGAUAAUGACAGUACCGGGAGAAUAAGCUCCGGCUAACUCCGUG
rnacentral:rRNA from 1 species